AACCUAUAACCCAGUAGGAAGGGUGUCUGACCAUUCCACGAGUACUAUCACUAGCUGUGUUGAUCCACUAAUUUGAUGUUUCCAAGGACUAGGCAGUCAGUCCUAAACUUGCGGGUGACCCCUAAGAGAGUGAAAGUCCUAACUAGUGGGUGACCUCUCAUAAUCCUAUGUUUGCUAGAUAGUUCUAGAACUUAGGGACUACUACUAAGGACUCAGUCCUAACUAGUGGGUGAG
rnacentral:lncRNA from 1 species